GUGCUGGCUUCAGCAGCACGCGUACUAAAAAUUGGAACGAUACAGAGAAGAUUAGCAUGGCACCUACCCAAAGAUGACAUGCAAAUUUGUGAGGCGUUUCAUGUUUUU
rnacentral:snRNA from 1 species